CCCGGCACAAGCGGUGGAGCAUGUGGUUUAAUUCGAUGCAACGCGAAGAACCUUACCUGGUCUUGACAUCCACGGAAGUUUCAGAGAUGAGAAUGUGCCUUCGGGAACCGUGAGACAGGUGCUGCAUGGCUGUCGUCAGCUCGUGUCGUGAGAUGUUGGGUUAAGUCCCGCAACGAGCGCAACCCUCGCCUUUAGUUGCCAGCAUUCAGUUGGGCACUCUAGAGGGACUGCCGGUGUCAAACCGGAGGAAGGUGGGAUGACGUCAAGUCCUCAUGGCCUUUAUGUCUAGGGCUACACACGUACUACAAUGGCCGGUACAAAGGGCAGCCACUCAGCGAUGAGGCGCUAAUCCCAUAAAGCCGGUCUCAGUCCGGAUCGCAGUCUGCAACUCGACUGCGUGAAGUUGGAAUCGCUAGUAAUCGUAGAUCAGCAUGCUACGGUGAAUACGUUCCCGGGCCUU
rnacentral:rRNA from 1 species